CUAAAAUGCAGCAGGUUGGGCGCAGGAGGCCACCCCUAUUCAGCGCGCGCCCGCGCGCGCGAACACGCAGCGCCCGCUCCGCGCGGGGACCCGCCGCCAGCGAUGGCGCUUCCGCGGGAUUAGAACGGGCAAAAUCCCCCUUCGCGGAGCUCGCUCCGGGUCACCCUCAAGGUCACGCCCACGGACCACGCCCGAGGCCCGGCUCGUACAGAUCGGAGCGUCUGGAUACCGCGGUCCCGGUUCCCUCCUCAGAAUUUCCAGGCCCGGCUCGGACUCUUGGUUACCUCCCCGGCCUCCCCACCCGGUUCCGCGUCCUUAGACAGCUCUCCCGGAACGGAGCUCCCAGUGCCCUCCUUGGCCUCCUCAGCACCCCUGGCACCCACCAAGCCUCACCCCCGGCCCAGGGUGAGUCGUCUGCGCCUGCGCACUCGCGCGUGGGCCUGAGCUCCCAGGAGUCUCCGGGGCGGCCCGUUAGGCGCCGCGCGGUGCUAGCUGCCGGCGCUCCCCUCCGUUUGCACCCACGCCCGCCCUAUUGCGGCUGGCACUACGCUUCUGCCAGGACCCCGGCUCCCUUUUCCGUUGACCUGGUGUUCGUUUUCCAUGUGUUGCUGAGAGGUGGAUGUUAAAAAUCAACACCAGGACUACAGUAAGGCUGAAAUCAUUGAAGUGCUUGGAGUGCAGAACUGAAAGAGGUACUUACUAACUUUUAGGGCUGUGUAAGUGUAGUGUUGUUUGAAGCUCUGUGUGUGUUUCUGUAAAGACUGGUCUGGAAAACUGACCAGAGGAAAACAUUUCCUUGCUUUUCCUCUGCUCUCACAUGAAAACAACAAACACAGUAAGAGUCAACACCAAAGACUUCAAUGACCCCCAGAUAUGUGGGGAUUUCCCCCUACCAGCAAGCAAGCAAUCAGUUCUAACUGCGUAUCCUCCAAUUUAAUUCUGACACUAUCUGCCUGGAAAUAGCAUCAGAUCCCUCAGGUUGAGGGCUUAGUCCCCAAGACUGCCAUCCCUUCAGACACCAGUUGCAAGUCUGGGCCUCUAGAACUUCUGACCAGCUGGGCUUCAAGUUGGCAUUCCCAGACAUUUACAGUGGCUCAUGGCUGGAGGAUCACUUGAGGCCAAGAGUUCAAGACCAGCCUGGGCAACAGAGUGAGACCUGUCUCAAGAAAAUAAAAAGUAAAAUUAGCUGUGCCUGGAGGUACAAGCCUGUGUAGUCCUAGCUACUUGGGAGGCUGAGGUGAAAGGCUCACUUGAGCCCAGGAAUUCAAGGUUACAGUGAGCAGUGAUCUGUGCCAUUGCACUCCAGCCUGGGCGACAGAGCGUGAUCCUGUCUUAAAAAAAAAAAGAAAAAAAAAAAGAUGGGGUUCUCACAACCCCCUCUUUGGGUUCAAUUAAUUUGCUGAAGUGCUCACAGAACUCAGGGAAACACUUAUGUUUGCUGGUUUAUUAUAAAGGAUAUUACAAAGGAUACAAUUGAAGAGAUUCGUUGGGCAAGGUAUGGGGAAGGGGCAUAUUGUUGGAGGCACAGAAUAGGCAAGACUUCAGAGAAAGUUUCUCUUCUCUCCCCACUUCUUGCUGCCAUUGUCUGUUAGGUUUGAUCCACAAUGGAUGGAUCUCAUUCUACUUUUCCAUUUCCCUAAUAUUUGUCAUGGCCCCUUUGAAUCUUGCCAUUCACUGUUCUGAUUUUCACAGUGCUGGGGGUCAUCAGUAUGUUCCUGAGGUGGAAUAGCACUCAUUUCAGAACAAGGAUGACAGAGGUGUGGGGUGCAAACAUACACUUAGGGAACAGGGCAGACCAAGUGAAUGACAACUCUCUUUCCAUCACACCUAUCCUCAAAUCAUGAGAUACUUAUCCACUUUUACCUCUGAAUACAGGACUGUGGUUCUCCUAUGCAAAGACAGCAGGGAGUGGACACUAGAAGGGUAAAACAACGC
rnacentral:lncRNA from 1 species